UCUCUGUAAAAUAUAUAAUAUCUACAUUCUCUGCCAAAUAUUUUGAACAGUGCUUCCCAAAAAUGUAAAUUCAGAGUUGUUAUCUGUUGUUAUCAAGUAGCUUGGCUUUUGUAGCCUUCUGCAAUAGCGGUGUUAACACAUUAUUAUACAUUAGUAUGUACGUUGCAGUUUUCACCGUUUUCAUUACAGCUAGAGUACAUAAAUGUAUAUAUAUUUGUUUACAUACCUCUUCUUUUCCACACGGUCAUCGGAUCUAUUAUUUUCGGAUACGCCUGUCGUAAAAAUUGAAAUUAGUUAGCAUUUUGUUUUUUGUUUUCAAGUAUAAACAUUUUUAAAAAGUAAUCCCUUGAUUUGCAUAUUCGAUUGCACAAAUCAUUACAGGGAAGGACAUAAAGAGUACUUCCAAGUUUUGAAAACGACUUACCUACCAUAAAGUGUUACCAAAAAAUCGAUACGAAAUACAUAUGUACAUACGUAUGCAUCUAAAAAAUUACUAUACAGCGAAAUAUAUGUAUGUGAUUAUGUUACUAUUAACUUUUAUUACAUUUAGUGAGAGAUUGAGUCGUUAAGAGACGUCAUGAAAUUUACCCGACUCUUCGUCGAUAGACAUGGGAACUAUAUAGUUGGAAAAUGGCGGCCACAUUAUUCACAUUUGUAUAUAUGUAUGUACGUCUGAUUAAAUUAUCGAAUUUCUAAUGUUUGAGCAGAGAAUGUUAAUGAAUAGAGAAGGCGCAAACAGAGAAUGUUAAUGAAUAGAGAAGGAGCAAAUGUUAGCUGUACUAAAAUGUAACUUACGAUGAGGGAACAUCGAAAACGUGCAAGUUCGAAAAUAAAAUUUCACCAUCCUAUCAAUUUACGCAACGAACUACACCACUCUCUAAGCAAAAUGUUCUUCGGCAUAUUGGCAUUGGCAAAUGGAAAUAAUAAAAACGAAAGUAAUUGACUUCGGACAAGAAAAUAUUAAUAAUGAGAGAAAUAAUAUGAAAAUAGAAUUAAAAUCAUUCAAUAAAAAAGGGUUAUAAAAAUAAAAAAA